UGUGCGCGUGUGCGCGUGUGCGC
rnacentral:misc_RNA from 1 species